AUCGAAUAUCGGAAGGAGUUUUCAGACACGAAUGAAAAAACGAAUUUCAGAUUCCGUCUAAAAACCGUGAUACGAAUCUUUUGAGUCUAAUUAAUCCAUCAUUAGCACAUGUUGAUACUAUAGUACUUAUGGCUAAUCAUGUACUAAUUAUAGGCUUAAAAGAUUCGUCUCAUGGUUUUCUUCAUAACUAUAUAAUUAAUUUUAAUAUUCAUGUAUAUUUGCCCAAAAAUUUAAUACGAUGUUGUUGAAAAAAUUUUGGAACUAAACAUGGCCUAGUUGUGGACGGAAGAAAUAGAUUGUAAGUUGUAGCUAUUCCCUACC
rnacentral:lncRNA from 1 species